GAAUAUCAGAGUUUUGCCAGAAACCCUUGAGUCUGGAGUGGUACGGCUGGAGUCCAGAUUGCAGUCUGUGGAGGAGUGGACAGGAGGAGUAGAACAGUUGGAAUUUAUAAUCUUCCUUCUGAACUAACAGGCCAUGGCUGCCAGUGUAUUCUUUUUCCCAGAUCUUGACAAUCAACAGCUCCCAAGAAAUUCUCGAGUUCUCUUCAGAGACCAACUGGGGAUCAACAAUUCAAUUUAAUUCUGACACCCAAGGUGCAAAAUAAAGACUGGGCGAUUCAUCUAUUUAAACAAAGACAUGUUAGCUACUUACUGUGUUUGAGACACAGUUCUAGUCAAAGAAUAAGAUAGACAAGGUCUCUGCAAUCUUGGAGCUUACAUUCUGGGGAAGGCAGUGAGAGGAGAGAAAAUUAAAACGAAGAAGAGAGUGCACCUGAUGUAGUAGCCACUGUAAGAACUGUGUUGGAGAAUGAUCCGAUUGGCCAGUGCAAGAGGGAUUGCAGAGAAGAAGAAACCACAAGCAGAAAAACCAGAUGAGGAAAUUAAGCUAAAUAUUAACUAUCUCAAGAAUAUUCCCAGAAGUGACUGCUAAAUUUAAAUCCCUGCUCACAAUGAAAUACUGUACAGCAGGGGUUCUCAAACUUUUUGGUCUUAGGACCCUUACAGCCUUAAAAAUUAUUGAGAACUCCAAAGAACUUUCAAUUAUGUGGGUCAUAACUACUGAUACUUACUGUAUUAUAACUUGAAACUGAAAAAAUUUUUAAAUAUUUAUAAACAUUUAAAAAUAAUAAACCCAUUGUAAGCUAAUGUAAAUAGCAUGUUUUUAUUAAAAAUCACUUUGUUUUCCAAAGCAAAAAAUGUAGUGAGAAGAGAGGCCUUCUUUUACAUUUUAAUAUCUGGCUUAUGAGAAAAUAGCUGAGUUUCUCAUUUCUGCUUCUCCAUUUAAUCUGUUGGUGUAUAUUU
rnacentral:lncRNA from 10 species